rnacentral:rRNA from 1 species
AGUGAACGCUGGCGGCAGGCCUAAUACAUGCAAGUCGAACGGCAGCACAGUGGAGCUUGCUCCAUGGGUGGCGAGUGGCGGACGGGUGAGGAAUACAUGGGAAUCUGCCCAGUCGUGGGGGAUAACGUAGGGAAACUUACGCUAAUACCGCAUGCGCCCUUCGGGGGAAAGCCGGGGACCUUCGGGCCUGGCGCGAUUGGAUGAGCCCAUGUUCGAUUAGCUAGUUGGCGGGGUAAAGGCCCACCAAGGCGACGAUCGAUAGCUGGUCUGAGAGGAUGAUCAGCCACACUGGGACUGAGACACGGCCCAGACUCCUACGGGAGGUAGCAGUAGGGAAUAUUGGACAAUGGGCGCAAGCCUGAUCCAGCCAUGCCGCGUGAGUGAAGAAGGCCCUCGGGUUGCAAAGCGCUUUUGUCCGGGAAGAAAAGCAUCGGGCUAAUACCUCGGUGUUCUGACGGUACCGGAAGAAUAAGCACCGGCUAACUUCGU